rnacentral:rRNA from 1 species
GGGAAGAGCAAGGCGUCCGCUAAGCCACCCCCUAUGACGCAGAUGAAUAAGCUCGACGCUGUCUUUUCCUGCCCAUUCUACAAUCAUGGGAGCAGCAUUGAAUGACGGAUUGAUAUGCACAACCUGAUUGGUGAGGCUACUUGUCAAAUCUGCCAGGAAAGCUUCAGCAUCACUGCAAAUGGUACAAAUACAUACAAUUGUAGAUUCUACAUAGUCACGCUGCUCCUUUAUUUUCCUGUUUUUAGUCCGUAA